AGUGAACGCUGGCGGUAGGCCUAACACAUGCAAGUCGAACGGCAGCACAGUAAGAGCUUGCUCUUACGGGUGGCGAGUGGCGGACGGGUGAGGAAUACAUCGGAAUCUACUUUUUCGUGGGGGAUAACGUAGGGAAACUUACGCUAAUACCGCAUACGACCUACGGGGGAAAGCAGGGGAUCUUCGGACCUUGCGCGAUUGAAUGAGCCGAUGUCGGAUUAGCUAGUUGGCGGGGUAAAGGCCCACCAAGGCGACGAUCCGUAGCUGGUCUGAGAGGAUGAUCAGCCACACUGGAACUGAGACACGGUCCAGGCUCCUACGGGAGGCAGCAGUGGGGAAUAUUGGACAAUGGGCGCAAGCCUGCUCCAGCCAUACCGCGUGGGUGAAGAAGGCCUUCGGGUUGUAAAGCCCUUUUGUUGGGAAAGAAAAGCAGCAGGUUAAUACCCCGCUGUUCUGACGGUACCCAAAGAAUAAGCACCGGCUAACUUCGUG
rnacentral:rRNA from 1 species